rnacentral:lncRNA from 1 species
GGGGAGGAGCCCAGCCUCUUGCGUUCCUGUGUGAUGGGGCCGGAGCCAGUAAACAGGCUUCCUUCUCGCUCUGCUGUAUAAGAAGAAGAAGUAGGAGAAACAAAAUAAGGAGGAGAAGAAGUAAAAUAAUUUGAGAAGGAAUAUGAAGGGGCUGAAAUCCUGGGCUUUCUGGGCAGAAGGAUCUACGAGCGGGAUCGUGGGUGAAACAUGAAGAUGAUGGUGGACAGGUGAGCUACGCAGUUCGUGGAAGAACCAGGGGUCACAUGGCCUAGAUGCUACCCUAGAUGAGAAAGAGUCCAAUGGUUAUCAACAAGUUCUGAAAGGCAAGGCCUAAGGUACUGAAAAUUAUAUUACUCAAAGCUGAAGGCAGCAAAUCUGUUCAUGUUUACACAGUUGGGAAAGUGGACUUGUGUUUUUUACAAGCAAACCAGUGACCAGCCAAUGGCAGGAGACCUUCCCCACCCCUAAAGGUGAUGCUCACCUACCGUCAUGGGUAAAAGGAAGCUCUGGCUCGAAUUCCUCAUGUAUUAUUCAUGUGUGAUGCCACCCAACGUGAUUCAGAGAAGAAAAUUCUCAGUGUGUUCACCAGAGGUGAUUACAUGAGAAUAAAGCACGGCCUGAUUUUUUUUCUUGUUCACAGGAAAAAAAAAAGAAAAGAAUGUAGAAUUUCUGAUGUGGGAUUGUUUCGACCUUGGAGAGUGUCCGUAUGAGACACAUGUGUGGUAUACAAAACACCUUUAAGAUUUAAUCAGAAUUGUAUAUCUUUCCAAAUUAAAUUGAUUGCUCCCUCAAACUCUUAUACAUCA